rnacentral:rRNA from 1 species
UACGAGAGGCCCAAACGUUAUUCGGAAUUACUGGGCUUAAAGAGUUCGUAGGCGGCAUUGCAAGUAGGGUGUGAAAGCCCUCGGCUCAACCGAGGAAUUGCGCUCUAAACUGCAGUGCUCGAGGAACCUAGAGGCGAGCAGAACAGAUGGUGGAGCGGUGAAAUGCGUUGAUAUCAUCUGGAAUACCGGAGGCGAAGGCGGCUCACUGGGGGUUUUCUGACGCUGAGGAACGAAAGCCAGGGUAGCGAACGGG